AUUGAACGCUGGCGGCAGGCCUAACACAUGCAAGUCGAGCGGAUGAAGGGAGCUUGCUCCUGGAUUCAGCGGCGGACGGGUGAGUAAUGCCUAGGAAUCUGCCUGGUAGUGGGGGAUAACGUCCGGAAACGGGCGCUAAUGCCGCAUACGUCCUGAGGGAGAAAGUGGGGGAUCUUCGGACCCCACGCUAUCAGAUGAGCCUAGGUCGGAUUAGCUAGUUGGUGGGGUAAAGGCCUACCUAGGCGACGAUCCGUAACUGGUCUGAGAGGAUGAUCAGUCACACUGGAACUGAGACACGGUCCAGACUCCUACGGGAGGCAGCAGUGGGGAAUAUUGGACAAUGGGCGAAAGCCUGAUCCAGCCAUGCCGCGUGUGUGAAGAAGGUCUUCGGAUUGUAAAGCACUUUAAGUUGGGAGGAAGGGCAGUAAGUUAAUACCUUGCUGUUUUGACGUUACCAACAGAAUAAGCACCGGCUAACUUCGUG
rnacentral:rRNA from 1 species